rnacentral:rRNA from 1 species
GAUGAACGCUGGCGGCGUGCCUAAUACAUGCAAGUCGAGCGAACGGACGAGAAGCUUGCUUCUCUGAUGUUAGCGGCGGACGGGUGAGUAACACGUGGAUAACCUACCUAUAAGACUGGGAUAACUUCGGGAAACCGGAGCUAAUACCGGAUAAUAUUUUGAACCGCAUGGUUCAAAAGUGAAAGACGGUCUUGCUGUCACUUAUAGAUGGAUCCGCGCUGCAUUAGCUAGUUGGUAAGGUAACGGCUUACCAAGGCAACGAUGCAUAGCCGACCUGAGAGGGUGAUCGGCCACACUGGAACUGAGACACGGUCCAGACUCCUACGGGAGGCAGCAGUAGGGAAUCUUCCGCAAUGGGCGAAAGCCUGACGGAGCAACGCCGCGUGAGUGAUGAAGGUCUUCGGAUCGUAAAACUCUGUUAUUAGGGAAGAACAUAUGUGUAAGUAACUGCGCACAUCUUGACGGUACCUAAUCAGAAAGCCACGGCUAACUACGUGCCAGCAGCCGCGGUAAUACGUAGGUGGCAAGCGUUAUCCGGAAUUAUUGGGCGUAAAGCGCGCGUAGGCGGUUUUUUAAGUCUGAUGUGAAAGCCCACGGCUCAACCGUGGAGGGUCAUUGGAAACUGGAAAACUUGAGUGCAGAAGAGGAAAGUGGAAUUCCAUGUGUAGCGGUGAAAUGCGCAGAGAUAUGGAGGAACACCAGUGGCGAAGGCGACUUUCUGGUCUGUAACUGACGCUGAUGUGCGAAAGCGUGGGGAUCAAACAGGAUUAGAUACCCUGGUAGUCCACGCCGUAAACGAUGAGUGCUAAGUGUUAGGGGGUUUCCGCCCCUUAGUGCUGCAGCUAACGCAUUAAGCACUCCGCCUGGGGAGUACGACCGCAAGGUUGAAACUCAAAGGAAUUGACGGGGACCCGCACAAGCGGUGGAGCAUGUGGUUUAAUUCGAAGCAACGCGAAGAACCUUACCAAAUCUUGACAUCCUUUGACAACUCUAGAGAUAGAGCCUUCCCCUUCGGGGGACAAAGUGACAGGUGGUGCAUGGUUGUCGUCAGCUCGUGUCGUGAGAUGUUGGGUUAAGUCCCGCAACGAGCGCAACCCUUAAGCUUAGUUGCCAUCAUUAAGUUGGGCACUCUAAGUUGACUGCCGGUGACAAACCGGAGGAAGGUGGGGAUGACGUCAAAUCAUCAUGCCCCUUAUGAUUUGGGCUACACACGUGCUACAAUGGACAAUACAAAGGGCAGCGAAACCGCGAGGUCAAGCAAAUCCCAUAAAGUUGUUCUCAGUUCGGAUCGUAGUCUGCAACUCGACUACAUGAAGCUGGAAUCGCUAGUAAUCGUAGAUCAGCAUGCUACGGUGAAUACGUUCCCGGGUCU